ensembl:misc_RNA Metazoa_SRP Metazoan signal recognition particle RNA
GCUGGGUGUGGUGGCGAGCACCUGUAAUCCCAGCUACUCAGGAGGCUGAGGCAGGAGAAUGGCUUGAACCCAGGAGGCAGAGGUUGCAGUGAGACAAGGUUGUGCCAUUGCACUCCAGCCUGGGUGACAGAGCGAGACUCUGUCUCAA